rnacentral:rRNA from 1 species
UGCCCGAAGGGUGACGAAGCGACGCCGCGUGGGUGAGGAAGGCCUUCGGGUUGUAAAGCCCUGUCAGGAGUUAAGAAAUGUAGACUCGCUAAUAUCGGGUCUAUUUGACAAAGGCUCCAAAGGAAGCCACGGCUAACUCUGUGCCAGCAGCCGCGGUAAUACAGAGGUGGCAAGCGUUGUUCGGAAUUAUUGGGCGUAAAGAGCACGUAGGUGGAUUUGUAAGUCAGACGUGAAAGCCUUCUGUUCAACGGAAGAAUUGCAUCUGAAACUACAAACCUUGAGUGUAGGAGGGGAGAAUGGAACUUCUGGUGGAGCGGUGAAAUGCGUAGAUAUCAGAAGGAACGCCGGCGGCGAAAGCGAUUCUCUGGCCCAUUACUGACACUCAGUGUGCGAAAGCUAGGGGAGCAAACGGGAUUAGAUACCCCGGUAGUCCUAGCCGUAAACGAUGGGCACUAAGUAGAGGGGU